rnacentral:rRNA from 1 species
AUUCAACGCUGGCGGCAUGCUUUACACAUGCAAGUCGGACGAGUGGAGGACGGGUGAGUAAGAUAUUGGAACGUACCGAGUAAUGGGGGCUAACCAAUCGAAAGAUUGGCUAAUACCGCAUAUUAUUCGAGCGGCCAAUCACUGAGUAGCUAGUUGGGGGGGUAAAGGCCUACCAAGGCGAUGAGCAGUAGCGGGUCUGCGAGGAUGAUCCGCAACACGGUGACUGAGACACGGCCCAAACGCCUACGUGAGGCAGCAGUGGGGAAUGUUGGACAAUGGGCGCAAGCCUUGUCCAGCCAUGCCGCGUGUCUGAAGAGGGCAGUCGGUUUGUAAAGGACUUUUGUUAGGGAAGCGGUACCUAAGGAAUAAGCACCGGCAAACUACGGGCGAGCGGCCGCGGUAAUAC